rnacentral:rRNA from 1 species
AACGAACGCUGGCGGCAUGCCUAACACAUGCAAGUCUAACGAGACCUUCGGGUCUAGUGGCGCACGGGUGCGUAACGCGUGGGAACCUGCCCUUAGGUUCGGAAUAACUCCCCGAAAGGGGUGCUAAUACCGGAUAAUGUCUUCGGACCAAAGAUUUAUCGCCUUUGGAUGGGCCCGCGUUGGAUUAGCUAGUUGGUAGGGUAAAAGCCUACCAAGGCGACGAUCCAUAGCUGGUCUGAGAGGAUGAUCAGCCACACUGGGACUGAGACACGGCCCAGACUCCUACGGGAAGCAGCAGUGGGGAAUAUUGGACAAUGGGCGAAAGCCUGAUCCAGCAAUGCCGCGUGAGUGAUGAAGGCCUUAGGGUUGUAAAGCUCUUUUACCCGGGAUGAUAAUGACAGUACCGGGAGAAUAAGCGCCGGCUAACUCCGUG